AAAGUACUCCCUCCGUCCCAAAAUUCUUGUCUUAGAUUUGUCUAGAUACGGAUGUAUCAAGUCACAUUUUAGUAUUAGAUACAUCUGUAUCUAGACAAAUCUAAGACAAGAAAUUUGGGACAAAGGGAGUAGUUG
rfam:Triticum aestivum genome assembly, contig: Triticum_aestivum_CS42_TGACv1_scaffold_526398_6DL